rnacentral:rRNA from 1 species
UACAGAGGGUGCGAGCGUUAAUCGGAAUUAUUGGGCGUAAAGGGCGCGUAGGUGGUUGAUUAAGUUGACUGUGAAAGCCCCGGGCUUAACCUGGGACGGUCAGUCAAUACUGGUUAACUUAGAGUACAGUAGAGGGUAGUGGAAUUUCCAGUGUAGCGGUGAAAUGCGUAGAUAUUGGAAGGAACACCAGUGGCGAAGGCGGCUACCUGGACUGAUACUGACACUGAGGCGCGAAAGCGUGGGUAGCGAACAGG